rnacentral:rRNA from 1 species
UCCGUAGGGUGCAAGCGUUGUCCGGAAUUAUUGGGCGUAAAGAGCUCGUAGGCGGUCUGUUGCGUCGGCUGUGAAAACCCGGGGCUCACCUCCGGGCCUGCAGCCGAUACGGGCAGACUAGAGUUCGGCAGGGGAGACUGGAAUUCCUGGUGUAGCGGUGGAAUGCGCAGAUAUCAGGAGGAACACCUAUUGCGAAGGCAGCUCGCUGGGACGUAACUGACGCUGAGACGCGAAAGCGUGGGGAGCAAACAGG